UUAAGUUAUUAAGGGCGCACGGUGGAUGCCUUGGCACUAGAAGCCGAUGAAGGACGUUACUAACGACGAUAUGCUUUGGGGAGCUGUAAGUAAGCUUUGAUCCAGAGAUUUCCGAAUGGGGAAACCCAGCAUGAGUUAUGUCAUGUUAUCGAUAUGUGAAUACAUAGCAUAUCAGAAGGCACACCCGGAGAACUGAAACAUCUUAGUACCCGGAGGAAGAGAAAGAAAAUUCGAUCCCCUUAGUAGCGGCGAGCGAAACGGGAAGAGCCCAAACCAACAAGCUUGCUUGUUGGGGUUGUAGGACACUCUAUACGGAGUUACAAAGGACGACAUUAGACGAAUCAUCUGGAAAGAUGAAUCAAAGAAGGUAAUAAUCCUGUAGUCGAAAAUGUUGUCUCUCUUGAGUGGAUCCUGAGUACGACGGAGCACGUGAAAUUCCGUCGGAAUCUGGGAGGACCAUCUCCUAAGGCUAAAUACUCUCUAGUGACCGAUAGUGAACCAGUACCGUGAGGGAAAGGUGAAAAGCACCCCGGAAGGGGAGUGAAAUAGAACCUGAAACCGUGUGCUUACAAGUAGUCAGAGCCCGUUAAUGGGUGAUGGCGUGCCUUUUGUAGAAUGAACCGGCGAGUUACGAUUUGAUGCAAGGUUAAGCAGUAAAUGUGGAGCCGUAGCGAAAGCGAGUCUGAAUAGGGCGUUUAGUAUUUGGUCGUAGACCCGAAACCAGGUGAUCUACCCUUGGUCAGGUUGAAGUUCAGGUAACACUGAAUGGAGGACCGAACCGACUUACGUUGAAAAGUGAGCGGAUGAACUGAGGGUAGCGGAGAAAUUCCAAUCGAACCUGGAGAUAGCUGGUUCUCUCCGAAAUAGCUUUAGGGCUAGCCUCAAGUGAUGAUUAUUGGAGGUAGAGCACUGUUUGGACGAGGGGCCCCUCUCGGGUUACCGAAUUCAGACAAACUCCGAAUGCCAAUUAAUUUAACUUGGGAGUCAGAACAUGGGUGAUAAGGUCCGUGUUCGAAAGGGAAACAGCCCAGACCACCAGCUAAGGUCCCAAAAUAUAUGUUAAGUGGAAAAGGAUGUGGCGUUGCCCAGACAACUAGGAUGUUGGCUUAGAAGCAGCCAUCAUUUAAAGAGUGCGUAAUAGCUCACUAGUCGAGUGACACUGCGCCGAAAAUGUACCGGGGCUAAACAUAUUACCGAAGCUGUGGAUUGUCCUUUGGACAAUGGUAGGAGAGCGUUCUAAGGGCGUUGAAGCAUGAUCGUAAGAACAUGUGGAGCGCUUAGAAGUGAGAAUGCCGGUGUGAGUAGCGAAAGACGGGUGAGAAUCCCGUCCACCGAUUGACUAAGGUUUCCAGAGGAAGGCUCGUCCGCUCUGGGUUAGUCGGGUCCUAAGCUGAGGCCGACAGGCGUAGGCGAUGGAUAACAGGUUGAUAUUCCUGUACCACCUAUAAUCGUUUUAAUCGAUGGGGGGACGCAGUAGGAUAGGCGAAGCGUGCGAUUGGAUUGCACGUCUAAGCAGUAAGGCUGAGUAUUAGGCAAAUCCGGUACUCGUUAAGGCUGAGCUGUGAUGGGGAGAAGACAUUGUGUCUUCGAGUCGUUGAUUUCACACUGCCGAGAAAAGCCUCUAGAUAGAAAAUAGGUGCCCGUACCGCAAACCGACACAGGUAGUCAAGAUGAGAAUUCUAAGGUGAGCGAGCGAACUCUCGUUAAGGAACUCGGCAAAAUGACCCCGUAACUUCGGGAGAAGGGGUGCUCUUUAGGGUUAACGCCCAGAAGAGCCGCAGUGAAUAGGCCCAAGCGACUGUUUAUCAAAAACACAGGUCUCUGCUAAACCGUAAGGUGAUGUAUAGGGGCUGACGCCUGCCCGGUGCUGGAAGGUUAAGAGGAGUGGUUAGCUUCUGCGAAGCUACGAAUCGAAGCCCCAGUAAACGGCGGCCGUAACUAUAACGGUCCUAAGGUAGCGAAAUUCCUUGUCGGGUAAGUUCCGACCCGCACGAAAGGCGUAACGAUUUGGGCACUGUCUCAACGAGAGACUCGGUGAAAUCAUAGUACCUGUGAAGAUGCAGGUUACCCGCGACAGGACGGAAAGACCCCGUGGAGCUUUACUGUAGCCUGAUAUUGAAAUUCGGCACAGCUUGUACAGGAUAGGUAGGAGCCUUUGAAACGUGAGCGCUAGCUUACGUGGAGGCGCUGGUGGGAUACUACCCUAGCUGUGUUGGCUUUCUAACCCGCACCACUUAUCGUGGUGGGAGACAGUGUCAGGCGGGCAGUUUGACUGGGGCGGUCGCCUCCUAAAAGGUAACGGAGGCGCUCAAAGGUUCCCUCAGAAUGGUUGGAAAUCAUUCAUAGAGUGUAAAGGCAUAAGGGAGCUUGACUGCGAGACCUACAAGUCGAGCAGGGUCGAAAGACGGACUUAGUGAUCCGGUGGUUCCGCAUGGAAGGGCCAUCGCUCAACGGAUAAAAGCUACCCCGGGGAUAACAGGCUUAUCUCCCCCAAGAGUUCACAUCGACGGGGAGGUUUGGCACCUCGAUGUCGGCUCAUCGCAUCCUGGGGCUGUAGUCGGUCCCAAGGGUUGGGCUGUUCGCCCAUUAAAGCGGUACGCGAGCUGGGUUCAGAACGUCGUGAGACAGUUCGGUCCCUAUCCGUCGUGGGCGUAGGAAAUUUGAGAGGAGCUGUCCUUAGUACGAGAGGACCGGGAUGGACAUACCUCUGGUGUACCAGUUGUCGUGCCAACGGCAUAGCUGGGUAGCUAUGUGUGGACGGGAUAAGUGCUGAAAGCAUCUAAGCAUGAAGCCCCCCUCAAGAUGAGAUUUCCCAACUUCGGUUAUAAGAUCCCUCAAAGAUGAUGAGGUUAAUAGGUUCGAGGUGGAAGCAUGGUGACAUGUGGAGCUGACGAAUACUAAUCGAUCGAAGACUUAAUCAA
rnacentral:rRNA from 1 species